rnacentral:rRNA from 1 species
UACGGAGGGUGCAAGCGUUAAUCGGAAUUACUGGGCGUAAAGCGCGCGUAGGCGGCUGGAUAAGUCGAUUGUGAAAGCCCCGGGCUCAACCUGGGAAUUGCAGUCGAGACUGUUCGGCUAGAGUGUGGGAGAGGGUGGUGGAAUUCCCGGUGUAGCGGUGAAAUGCGUAGAUAUCGGGAGGAGCAUCAGUGGCGAAGGCGACCACCUGGACCAACACUGACGCUGAGGUGCGAAAGCGUGGGUAGCAAACAGG